UACGUAGGGGGCAAGCGUUGUCCGGAUUUACUGGGCGUAAAGAGCGUGUAGGCGGCCAGGCAGGUCUGUUGUGAAAACUGGAGGCUCAACUUCCAGACGUCGACAGAAACCGCUUGGCUAGAGUCCGGAAGAGGAGAGUGGAAUUCCUGGUGUAGCGGUGAAAUGCGCAGAUAUCAGGAAGAACACCGAUGGCGAAGGCAGGUCUCUGGGCCGAUACUGACGCUGAGGAGCGAAAGCGUGGGGAGCGAACAGG
rnacentral:rRNA from 1 species